CGGGGAUGUACUUCUGCCUGGUGAACAGCCGCCAACAGCCCAAGGGUGCUGUGCGGCUGGAGGUCAGAGAUGCGCCGGGGUCACCGGGCCGACCUCUGGUGCUCGCCUUCUCCUCGCGCACGGCCAACAUCUCGUGGACGCACCCGCGGCGCACGAACUUCUCACCAGUGGCCCACUACGUGAUCCACGUGAGGGAGACGGAGCGAGGACCUUGGGACCGCUCGCUGCGCACCGUCGGUAACGGCACCCGCUACCAGGUGACCGAGCUGCGGCCUUACACCGUCUACAGCUUCCGGGUGACGGCCGUGAACGCGGUGGGCGCCGGCCCGCCCGGCCAGCCGUCUUUCCCCGUGCAG